rnacentral:misc_RNA from 1 species
AACAUCGCGCACCUGCGGGAACCUGCGGAAGGAUCAUUACAGAGUUGCAAAACUCCCUAAACCAUUGUGAACGUUACCUAAACCGUUGCUUCGGCGGGCGGCCUGGGUCCUUCCCGGCGCCCCUCGGCCCUCGCGGGCGCCCGCCGGAGGUAAACCAAACUAUUGCAUUGUAUGGCCUCUCUGAGUCUUCUGUACUGAAUAAGUCAAAACUUUUAACAACGGAUCUCAGAUCGGAAGAGC